rnacentral:rRNA from 1 species
GGUCCCGCCUGCCCUGUGACAUUAGUUUAACGGCCGCGGUAUACUAACCGUGCAAAGGUAGCGUAGUAACUUGCCUUUUAAAUGAAGGCCCGUAUGAAUGGCUUAACGAGGGCCCAACUGUCUCCUUUCCCCAGUCAGUGAAACUGACCUACCCGUGCAGAGGCGGGUAUCCCCCUAUUAGACGAGAAGACCCUGUGGAGCUUACAGACAAAAGGGCAGCUCUAGUUAAGCAACACAUUUUAAGUGACUAAACCAUAUUUCUCUGUUCGAAUGUCUUUGGUUGGGGCGACCACGGAGUAACACACAACCCCCGAGAGGAAUGGCAACUAUUGCCCCACACUAGAGACCCCUCUCUAAUUGACAGAAUUUCUGACCACCAGAUCCGGCACAGCCGAUCUACGAACCUAGUUACCCCAGGGAUAACAGCGCAAUCCCCCUUAAGAGCCCCUAUCGACAGGGGGGUUUACGACCUCGAUGUUGGAUCAGGGCCUCCUAAUGGUGCAGCAGCUAUUAAGGGUUC